CUUGUAAGGAUGUUCCAAGAACCACUUAGUUGGAGAAGGAAAACUGUGCCGUUCAUUAACAAGUCCGGUGCUUUAUAAUAUAUUUAAAGAUGGUAAGGACGUGAAGAAAACAGGUUUGUAAAUGAUGUUGUACAUCAUGCAGAUAGCU
rnacentral:lncRNA from 1 species